rnacentral:rRNA from 1 species
UACGAAGGGGGCUAGCGUUGCUCGGAAUCACUGGGCGUAAAGGGUGCGUAGGCGGGGUUUUAAGUCAGAGGUGAAAUCCUGGAGCUCAACUCCAGAACUGCCUUUGAUACUGAAAGUCUUGAGUAUGGGAGAGGUGAGUGGAACUGCGAGUGUAGAGGUGAAAUUCGUAGAUAUUCGCAAGAACACCAGUGGCGAAGGCGGCUCACUGGCCCAUUACUGACGCUGAGGCACGAAAGCGUGGGGAGCAAACAGG